CCCAGAUCCUCCCCCAGCAGGGCAGCUGACUGUCCUCUCAGCCCCGUGGUGUCACCCCUCAGACACAUCACCCCUGUGGGUGGCCAGCUCUGUGGUGGACACCUCCUAUCUGGGCUUUUAGGGUCUCAGCACGCUGUUUCAUUCUGGGGAGCCAUGUAGCUUCUCUCUGAGAAGUCCCUUGUCCUCUCUCUGUGACACAGUGCUUCUCAUCACCUGAGGACCUGCUGGUGGGACAGCAAGAUCCCCAGGGAGCCUGGUUGGAUGUGAUGGGGGAUGUUCUGGGUCAGUGGUAUCAUGCCAGGAGAGGUGGCUCCUUGUUGGGGGGAAACUGAGGCACGCAUGGACUGGUGGUUUCAUGAACAUCAGCAGCAGAGCCAGGGAGGGCACCAGGAGUCUGAGCUCACCUCCUGCCCAGGACUCAGGGUGAGGAACCAGGAGGACCUGACACAGCGUAAUGGGGCUGCUCGCGAGGCGCCGUGCGAUUUGUCACAGGCCUCGUUCCCUGAUAACGGGCAUUUGUCAUCACUUUCUUCCCGUGUUAAUGUCAUCAUCGGCGAGCUGACAGGCAGACCCGUUGAGGGAGCACUGGCGACAGACCACAUCCGUCAACCUAAUAUUUCCAUGGCUGUGGGGAUCAGCCGGGCUGCGAACACACAUUAAAGUGCU